rnacentral:rRNA from 1 species
UAGGGAAUCUUCCGCAAUGGACGCAAGUCUGACGGAGCAACGCCGCGUGAGUGAAGAAGGAUUUCGGUUCGUAAAACUCUGUUGUUAAGGAAGAACGAGUGUGAGAAUGGAAAGUUCAUACUGUGACGGUACUUAAUCAGAAAGGGACGGCUAACUACGUGCCAGCAGCCGCGGUAAUACGUAGGUCCCGAGCGUUGUCCGGAUUUAUUGGGCGUAAAGCGAGCGCAGGCGGUUAGCUAAGUCUGAAGUUAAAGGCAGUGGCUCAACCAUUGUAGGCUUUGUAAACUGUUUAACUUGACUGCAGAAGGGGGGAGUAGAAAUCCAUGUGUAUCGGUGAAAUGCGUAGAUAUCUGGAGGAACGCCGGUGGCGAAAGGGGCUCUCUGGUCUGUAACUGACGCUGAGGCUCGAAAGAGUGGGGAGCGAACAGG